CGGAGCCCGGCGAGCCGUAACCGGGCGAGCCGGGCUGGGGGGGCCUGGGGAUGUGUUUGUUCUUCUUCUUGGGCAGCUUCUGCUUGGCCAUGGCCAGCGAGUAGUACAUGCCGAAGUUGUUGACGAUGACGGGCACGGGCAUGGCGAUGGUCAGCACGCCGGCCAGGGCGCACAGCGCGCCCACCAACAUCCCCGACCACGUCAUGGGGUACAUGUCACCGUAACCCAGCGUCGUCAUGGUCACCACCGCCCACCAGAAGCCGAUGGGGAUGUUCUUGAAGUAGGUGUGGCGGCUGCCGGUGACGUCGUCGGGGUCGGCGCCGAUGCGCUCGGCGUAGUAGAUCAUGGUGGCGAAGAUGAGCACGCCCAGGGCGAGGAAGAUGACGAGCAGCAGGAACUCGUUGGUGCUGGCGCGCAGCGUGUGGCCCAGCACGCGCAGCCCCACGAAGUGCCGCGUCAGCUUGAAGAUGCGCAGGAUGCGGACGAAGCGCACCACGCGCAGGAAGCCCAGCACGUCCUUGGCCGCCUUGGAGGACAAUCCCCGCAGCCCAACCUCCAGGUAGAAGGGCAGGAUGGCCACGAAGUCGAUGAUGUUGAGGCUGCUCUUGAUGAAGUCGCGCUUGUCCGGGCAGAAGCUGACGCGCAUGAGGAACUCGAAGGUGAACCACACCACGCACAGCCCCUCCACGUAGGUGAGGAAGGGCUCGGUCUCCACCUCCACGGCCACCUGCGUGCCCGUCUCGUUGCCCGUGGUCACCGUCUCCGUCUUGUUGAUGACGCGGUUGAAGGCCUCGUGUGUCUCCAGGCAGAAGGUGGUGAUGGAGAUGAGGAUGAAGAAGAGCGAGGCGAAGGCCACGUACUGCGGUGGGGGAGGGGGGAGAUGGGUCAGGGGGGUGGUGAGACCCCCCCCCAAAAAAAACCUCACCCACAUGGAGUGACCCCUGCCAUGGGGAAACGCUGAGGGAAUGGGGUGAGACCCCCCAAAAAAUACCUCACCCACAUGGAGUGACCCCCGCCAUGGGGAAACGCUGAGGGAAUGGGGUGAGACCC
rnacentral:lncRNA from 1 species